rnacentral:lncRNA from 1 species
AUUCCCUGAAGAAAAACAGAAUGGGAUGUUCUGACCCAGCUAUGUAUUUUUUAAAAAUAACUGAGUUACUGAGUCACUGCACACUCUACCCUCUCUGCACAGUUCCAGACUGCUGCCACUCAGAAACCCAGGCCUCUGCACCACUCAAAUGGAACACAAGCACUCAGCAAUGGCAGGAGACACUCAAGGCUGAGAUGGUCUUUCUGAGAAGCCCAUUUUAUGGAACGUUAUGUGACUGUCACGACCUGCAGACAUGAGCACUGGGCAUAG